UCGAGGGUUCGACUCCCCCUGGAGCCUCCA
rnacentral:ncRNA from 2 species